GACGAACGCUGGCGGCGUGCUUAACACAUGCAAGUCGAACGGAAAGGCCCUGCUUUUGUGGGGUGCUCGAGUGGCGAACGGGUGAGUAACACGUGAGUAACCUGCCCUUGACUUUGGGAUAACUUCAGGAAACUGGGGCUAAUACCGGAUAGGAGCUCCUGCUGCAUGGUGGGGGUUGGAAAGUUUCGGCGGUUGGGGAUGGACUCGCGGCUUAUCAGCUUGUUGGUGGGGUAGUGGCUUACCAAGGCUUUGACGGGUAGCCGGCCUGAGAGGGUGACCGGACACAUGGGGACUGAGAUACGGCCGAGACUCCUAGGGGAGGCAGGAGUGGGGAAUAUUGCAAAAUGGGCGGAAGCCUGAUGCAGCAGCGCCGCGUGCGGGAUGACGGCCUUCGGGUUGUAAACCGCUUUCGCCUGGGACGAAGCGUGAGUGACGGUAAUGGGUAAAGAAGCACCGGCUAACUACG
rnacentral:rRNA from 1 species